rnacentral:rRNA from 1 species
CCUACGAGAGGCAGCAGUGAGGAAUAUUGGUCAAUGGGCGGGAGCCUGAACCAGCCAAGUCGCGUGAGGGAAGACGGUCCUAUGGAUUGUAAACCUCUUUAUGCGGGGAGCAAUUCCGGGCACGCGUGCCCGGAGGGAGAGUACCCGCAGAAUAAGCAUCGGCUAACUCCGUGCCAGCAGCCGCGGUAAUAGGGGGGAUGCGCGCGUUAUCCGGAUUUCUUGGGUUUAAAGGGUGCGUAGGCGGAUUUUUAAGUCAGCGGUAAAAUGUCCGGGCUCAACCCGGGCCGGCCGUUGAAACUGGGGAUCUUGAGUGGGCGAGAAGUAUGCGGAAUGCUUGGUGUAGCGGUGACAUGCAUAGAUAUCACGCAGAACUCCGAUUGCGAAGGCAGCAUACCGGCGCCCGACUGACGCUGAGGCACGAAAGCGUGGGGAUCGAACAGGAUUAGAUACCCUGGUAGUC